AAGGGCAUAAAGUCAACUCUUUUGUUGGACUGAUGGGGAAAAGGAGCCAAGAGGAGCCAGAGUCCUAUGACUGGAGCACAAUACAGACAUACGACAAGCGCCGCUAAAAGUCACCUCUUCACCUGUCUGCACCUCAUCUAACCAUUCCUCAUCCACGGGAGGGGCACCUGAUGCUGGUUUUGUUUUCUCCAAACUAUGUAUAGCUGUUAGUCAAAUAAAAUGAUUUUGUUUUCACAUUGUAGUGAUGUAGCGGUGCUGUGCCUGUGCCAGUUUCAUUUGUCCCA